rnacentral:rRNA from 1 species
AUUCCGGUUGAUCCUGCCGGAGGCCAUUGCUAUCGGAGUCCGAUUUAGCCAUGCUAGUCGUGCGAGUUCAGACUCGCGGCACCGAGCUCAGUAACACGUGGCCAAACUACCCUACAGAGACGGAUACCCUCGGGAAACUGAGGUUAACCCGUCAUACCGAUCUCAGGCUUGAAUCGCAGAGAUCACAAAACGCCCCGGCGCUGUAGGAUGUGGCUGCGGUUGAUUAGGUAGACGGUGGGGUAACGGCCCACCGUGCCCAUAAUCAGUACAGGUUGUGAGAGCAAGAACCUGGAGACGGAAUCUGAGACAAGAUUCCGGGCCCUACGGGGCGCAGCAGGCGCGAAACCUUUACACUGCACGCACGUGCGAUAAGGGGACUCCGAGUGCGAGGGCAUAUUGUCCUCGCUUUCGUGUACCGUAGGGUGGUACACCAACAAGGGCUGGGCAAGACCGGUGCCAGCCGCCGCGGUAAUACCGGCAGCCCGAGUGAUGGCCGAUCUUAUUGGGCCUAAAGCGUCCGUAGCUGGCCGCGC